rnacentral:RNase_P_RNA from 1 species
GACAAACGCUAUACUCUUAUAGUAUAGAGGAAAGUCCAUGCUCACACAAUCUGUGAUGAUUGUAGUGUUCGUGCCUAGGAAAAAAAUAACCUAGGGUAGAGAAAUCUAACGGCGAAGUAACGCCUAAGUCUUCGGAUAUGGUAUUCUUCUGAAAAGUGCCGCAGUGACGAAUUUUAGGAAACUAAAAAAUGAAACGUGGUAAACCCCGCGAGUGAGAAACCCAAAUUAUGGUAGGGGAGCUCUGAUGGAGGAAUCAAACGAAGUCAGGGACUAAGCAUAGGCUUGGUAGAUAAAUGUUUGUCGCCUAAUUUAUUUAGGAACAGAACAUGGCUUAUAA